rnacentral:rRNA from 1 species
AGAGUUUGAUCCUGGCUCAGAACGAACGCUGGCGGCGGGGUUUAGGCAUGCAAGUCGAGCGAGAAAGUCUUCGGACGAGUAAAGCGGCGUAAGGGUGAGUAAUAGGUAGUCAACGUACCUUCCAGACACGAAUAAUUCCCCGAAAGGGGUUGUAAUGCGUGAUAAGACCACGGUUCCUCCGGGAACAGAGGUCAAAGGUUGGGGAUCCUUCGGGACCCAGCGCUGGUGGAGCGGACGACCUCCGAUUAGCUAGAUGGCGGGGUAACGGCCCACCAUGGCGAUGAUCGGUAGCCGGCCUGAGAGGGUGUACGGCCACACUGGGACUGAGACACUGCCCAGACUCCUACGGGAGGCUGCAGUCGCGAAUCAUUCACAAUGGACGCAAGUCUGAUGAUGCCACGCCGCGUGCGGGAUGAAGGCCCUUUGGGUUGUAAACCGCUGUCAAGGGAGGGGAAACACUUGGUGUUAACAGCACCAAGCUUGACUGCUCCCUAAAGGAAGCCCCGGCAAAACAUGUGCCAGCAGCCGCGGUAAUACAUGUGGGGCAAGCGUUGUUCGGAAUUACUGGGCAUAAAGGGUGCGUAGGCGGUUUGUUAAGUCACUGGUGAAAGUUUGCGGCCCAACCGUAAAAUUGCCUGUGAUACUGGCGAACUUGAGUGCGUGAGGGGUAGGGGGAACGAGCAGUGUAGCGGUGAAAUGCGUAGAUAUUGCUCGGAAGGCCGGAGCCGAAGGGGCCCUACUGGUACGUAACUGACGCUGAGGCACGAAAGCGUGGGGAGCAAACAGGAUUAGAUACCCUGGUAGUCG